rnacentral:lncRNA from 1 species
AUUCCCUAUCAGAUAAUUCCAACAUCUGUGUCAGAUCCAAGCAAUCCCAAUGAUUGCUUUGUCUCUUCUGAAUGUGCCUUUUCCUGCCUUCUCAUAAGGUCUUAUAAUUGUUGUGGAAAGCUGGAUGUCAGUGCUACAUUCUGUACAGCCAGAUUGUGCAGGAUAAAGACCAGAGAAGAGAGAGGAAGGGCCAAACCUGGGAAGGAUCUAUACAUCAGUCAGGCCAGAGAAGAGAAAGCCAGGAGGCAGUGUGGAAAGUUGGUGCAGGUAUAUGAGGUACCGCCUAGAGUAAUCUACAUCAUGAAUUCUAAAUGUUCUAAGAAUGAACACAUGACCUCAUCUUCCUCAAAGCAGACGUGUAACCUCCUUCCUGAGUUGAGUCUGACUCAAAAGAUGGCCUCAGGACUGAACACCAAGGGAGCACCAAAAGACACACUCACCCAGUCUCUGGAGAACUGUGAAGAAACUGGAAAGCAAAAGAGUAAGGCAAUCAAUACUGGCCCACAUAAUGAGAGCAAUAGAAAAUAAAAUUAUUGAUUAUGAGAUAAAACAUAGAAAGUG